rnacentral:rRNA from 1 species
UGCAGAGAACUUUCCAGAGAUGGAUUGGUUGCCUUCGGGAACGUCUGACACAGGUGCUGCAUGGCUGUCGCCAGCUCGUGUCGUGAGAUGUUGGGUUAAGUCCGUAACGAGCGCAACCCUUGUCCUUAGUUACCAGCACGUUAUGGUGGGCACUCUAAGGAGACUGCCGGUGACAAACCGGAGGAAGGUGGGGAUGACGUCAAGUCAUCAUGGCCCUUACGGCCUGGGCUACACACGUGCUACAAUGGUCGGUACAAAGGGUUGCCAAGCCGCGAGGUGGAGCUAAUCCCAUAAAACCGAUCGUAGUCCGGAUCGCAGUCUGCAACUCGACUGCGUGAAGUCGGAAUCGCUAGUAAUCGUGAAUCAGAAUGUCACGGUGAAUACGUUCCCGGGCCUU